rnacentral:misc_RNA from 1 species
GAUGAAGAACGUAGCGAAAUGCGAUACGUAGUGUGAAUUGCAGAAUUCCGUGAACCAUCAAAUCUUUGAACGCAUAUUGCGCUCGAGGCUUCGGCCGAGAGCAUGUCUGCCUCAGCGUCGGUAUUACCCCUCGCUUCUCAACCCCUGGUUGAUGCCUGCCUGCCUUUGCAGUUGGCUAGAAGCGGAUCUGGCUUUCCCAAUUGCCUUUGGUAGUUGGGUCAGCUGAAGCACAGAGGCUUGAGCAAGGACCCUUAUUGGGCUUCAACUGGAUAGGUAGAACUGGUCUUAGGACCAACUACACAAAGUUGUUGCUUGUGGUCUUUUGUCUGGAGGCCAGCAGGAAACCUUUAUACCUUCGACCUGAGCUCAGGCAAGAUUACCCGCUGAACUUAAGCAUAUCAAUAAGCGGAGGA